CGUCUAGCAGGCUUGUACGGGUUGCAUUUCGAUCCCCCGGUGGCUUCUCCUUUGGAGGUGUCGGCGGUGCUUUCGGUGUAUCCCGUCGAGCGAUGGGACGACGCAUGAGUGGUGAUUAGGAUAUGUUUCCCAUGCAGGCUCCAUGUAUCUGGCAUCGAACUGUUUGGGUCUAUCUAUUUCAUUAGUGGGUUUGCCCCGGCGUUUCCGUGGUCGGUCGCCACUACUUGUUGGGUUGCUGUGCUUGGUACUGAAUUUUGUAGUUGGAUGGAUUGGUGUUCCCCGUCGUGGUUUUUCGGUCCCUCUGCUCCGCGCUUGGCGCGGCGAUGGUGGAUAUUGUGCGGGCAUCGAGGUUUUCCUGUCGAGCCGUUGUCCCCCUUUGGGUGCUUCCGGUUGAGAUGGCACGUAGAUGCUAACGGCACUCUCGGGUACGGAGAUUUUGUGGUUAUCGCAUUGGCCUUCGGCCUUUGUGAUCGUAAUGUAUCGAAGCUUUCUUGCUUCUGAAUGA
rnacentral:misc_RNA from 1 species